AACGAACGCUGGCGGCAUGCCUAACACAUGCAAGGCGAACGAGACCUUCCGGUCUACUGGCGCACGGGUGCGCAACGCGGGGGGACCUGCCCUGAGGUUCGGAAGAACAGUUAGAAAUGACUCCUAAUACCGGAUAAUGUCUUCGGACCAAAGAUUUAUCGCCUUUGGAUGGGCCCGCGUCAGAUUAGGUUGUGAGUGGGGUAAAUGCCUACCAAGGCGACGAUCUUUAGCUGGUCUGAGAGGAUGAUCAGCCACACUGGGACGGAGACACGGUCCAGACUACUACGGGAGGCAGCAGAGGGGAAUAUUGGAAAAUGGGCGAAAGGCUGAUCCAGCAAUGCCGCGAGAGUGAUGAAGGCCUUAGGGUUGUAAAGCUCUUUAACCAGGGAUGAUAAUGACAGUACCUGGAGAAUAAGCUCCGGCUAACUCCGUGCCAGCCGCCGCUGUAAAAC
rnacentral:rRNA from 1 species